GGGGUGCAAAUACUGCAAGUCGAGCGAACUGAUUAGAAGCUUGCUUCUAUGACGUUAGCGGCGGACGGGUGAGUAACACGUGGGCAACCUGCCUGUAAGAAUGGGAUAACUUCGGGAAACCAAACCUAAUACCGGAUAGGAAUUUUUCCUUCAUGAGAGAUUGAUGGAUACAUGG
rnacentral:rRNA from 1 species